GCAAUAGUUUUCUUUUUCCGUUUAUCAACGUAACAAUAGAUUCCUUAGAAUGCUAUUUAAUUUCAAGUUAGAAUCAUCUCGCUGGCUUUUAGAACGUCGACGGUUCCUACCCAGGUGCCCGUCGGUGCUUCAAAAAAUACCCGGAAGGGCAUCUGAACCUUCAUCUUAAGGAUGUACGAUCGAAUUUUUUCUAACAGUUAGAAUUUUUUCAUACUCUGUGAGCUUGAAGAACAUUAGUUUUCAAGACAAACAAGAGAAGAAAAAACAUAGGUCACCGAACUCGUUUUAAUUUUAUAGGGCAUUUUGUACACCCACUGUUUAAGCAUUUCUGAAAUUUUGUAAAAUUGAAAAAAUGGUUGUACUUUAUAAAACAUAUAAUAUCCCAUUUAAUGUUAUAGGGAUUUCAUGUCUUACAGGUUAAUAUGAAUACAAGGUGAUGUCAGUAUUAUAUAAGCAUAAAUGUCACAAACAAAUCUCUUUCAUUUUUACAUGUUGACAUAAUUACCCCGCCCACUUUAUUUUCAAUGGAAAAAAUGUAUUUAGAUCUACAAAAAAAUUUCUGACGGUAAGAUUUUAAAAAUAUUUUGCAACUUUAAUGACGCACAAAAAUGUUUUAAAAUGGAAAGAAAAAAAGUAGGGGUCACCGUGCAUCUAAGAGAUUUAUUAAGAAAAAACUGUCAAAAACUGGUGAAUUUUGAUAUUUUGUGUUCUUUUUUAUUUAAUUUAUAUUUUCCAGAUAAAAUAAAGAGAUAUCUUGAAAUUUUUUAUUUCAUUUAUAGCUUAUCAUUACAUGUAUCAGUCAGGAAAAUAUCAAAACGAAACCUGAUCUAGUUUCAUAGAUAUUUGAAAUUACCUACCCCUACCCCGUUGUAAAACUUACGUCAAUUUUAGACAAAUGCCAGCCAAAAAUAAGGGUGAAAUUUUUUUUUUCGUAAAAAGCAGAAUCCAUUUGCUUAAAUGGUACUUUAUUAGCCAUAUUUUAAUGAUUUAGCAUUAAUUUUCGGCAAAACUUUUGUUGGAAGGCAAUAUUUGAAGAAACAUUUUUCAAAAUGGCGGAUAUCCUGAAAAAAAAAAACGCUCGUACAUCCUUAAAGGGAAUUCCUAUAAUUUUUUAUGCGCAUCUUUCUGCGCAGCCGACACUUUCUAUGGAAAACUGAAAUGAAGUCAACAUUUUGUUGAAACAUGUUACAGACAAUCUUAAAUAUGAGGAAUUUUGAAUGAAAUAACAUUUUUGAUAAGUUAUAUCAGUAAUCAAAUGUUGAUACUGGUUUAUCUUGUAUUGACAAGUAUCAUGCCUGACAGGUAUCUUGCUAUUUUUGUGGUUGUGUUUUCACAUCGCAUUUUAGUACAAAGACAGUGUUGUUCAUAUAAUGUAAGAUAAUUGACUUAGUACUGAUAAGACAAUAUCGCCUUUCAGAUUAUUAAGUAUUCAAUUAUAGAAAGAAUUAAGAAUUUUUAAAACUUUUAUUUAACUUUUAGCAGACAUAGAUGAAAUCAAUUUGGCCAGGUUCGCGCCAUUUCCGUCCGAACAGGUGUUGUAUUCUAGCGGUCUUAACAUAAAAUUUAGCCUGGUGACCCAUACAUUUUUAGCCAUUUUUAUGCUCACAAUACAAUUAUCUAUACACAAGAAGAAAAAGAAAAAAUUCUAUGAAAGAGUUUUUUCAAAAUUUAAAAAUAAUAUUCUUCACUAUGGGUAUUUUUCAUUGAAAAAAGUUCACAAAAGUAAAUAUGAAACAAUAUUUUUUUUUCAUUUGUACCCAUUAUUGUAAGGAUAGAGUAUUACAAAUAUGAUUAUGAUAUCAAAUAAGUAUAUAAUAAAAUCUGUGAAAAGAAAAAACCGUAUUGUGCUGCCUGGAUGUAUAUUUUGGUUGGUAUUUAUAAAAAAGCAGAAAAUUAUGAAAAUGUUGAAAAAUCGCUGGCAGUUUCAGCAAAAGUGGGUGUGUUCAAAACAAUUUUUCACAAAAACAAGCCUGGUGACCUAUUGUUUUUAUUUGUUCAUUGUUUUCAGCACAAAUUUUCCUAUCAUAUAUGUGAAUUUAAAAAAAAUCUAUGAAAGGAAAAAAACUAUAGGAAUUCUCUUUAAGCUAGAAAGACGCCAAAUGAGCAAAAAUUUACCGGUUUGACUCCAAACAAAACAGACAAUAAAACGAAUGAUAUAAUUACAUUUUAGACAUCGAAAGAUCUGCAAGAGAACAAAAAUUCGACAAAAGCUCUUGAUGGAAUAUACUACGUGGCUCUUGUGGCAUCAUCUUUGUCGUUAUUGUUAAAGGUAGCAACAUUAGUUCUAGGCAUCAUCGUCUGUCGUAAUAUCGGAAACAGAGCUAACACAACAGAGGAGUCUCGUAAUGUUACCACUGAAGAAGAAGUCGCUGUAACUUCUUUCAAUAAUACAGAACCGAAGCAAAGAAGUGACGGGCUUGAGUCAUCCAUGUGUUGAUAGGAAUAAUAGAACUUAUAUUGCAUCAUAAUUCCAUAUGAAGGUAGAAUGGAUUUGACUUUAGAUAUUGACAUCACGGCAAACUAAAAAUGAGAACUUGUAUUAUAGUGGUUAUAUGUUUCUGUUGAUAAAGAGCCUUAAAGAGAUACAACAUAUGCUAGAGACUUUGAAAAUUCCUUGUCAUUACCUAAUUGGUACAGGUAACCACCGGGAUACCAUCAAUUUUAUUACCUCAUUGCUACCGUUACUUAGUUACCAUAUUUUUUAUCAAUCCUGAGAAGAAUGAACACAACGGUAAACAUUGUCAUCGUUAAAGGAUUUUUGACGCACAGAGGAGAAGCACAAACGUGAUUCAAUGACUUGUUUCUAUUUAUUAAAUGGUGUUACACAUAUUUGUUUCUUUGAAAUCUAAAUCAAGGAUAUUUACCUGUUACGAUGGUCCAAAAAACUUACCGAAAGGCGGGCCUGAACUCGUGACAAUCUUACAGUCAUUGAUUUUGUUCUUCUGAAACCUUUCAGAAAAUCAUUGGAAAGGAAACUAGAUGUAUAAUUUGACAAUACAGUUUAGUAGACAAUAUCUGAAAGAACGCAGUUGGCAAAUAGCAUUUUGCAUUAACUGUUUGUCAUAAAGUAGUCCUUCGCGAACCAGCCUUCCAUAAAAAUAUUAAAUUAAUAAUAUAAAAACUUCUUAAUAUGUCACUUACACGUUCGAGGAACGAGUGAGUAGAAAUGCAUUUCAACGGAAGGCCGGUGCGCCUUGUUAAUUGUCGUUUGCCAAAUGCAAAAUGCUAUUUGCCGAAUGCUUAAUAUCAAAUAUUGAUUGUCAAAUGAAAAAUUCUAAAUAUCUGAAAGAACGCAGUUGGCAAAUAGCAUUUUGCAUUAACUGUUUGUCAUAAAGUAGUCCUUCGCGAACCAGCCUUCCAUAAAAAUAUUAAAUUAAUAAUAUAAAAACUUCUUAAUAUUUCACUUACACGUUCGAGGAACGAGUGAGUAGAAAUGCAUUUCAACGGAAGGCCGGUGCACCUUGUUAAUUGUUGUUUGCUAAAUGCAAAAUGCUAUUUGCCGAAUGCUUAAUAUCAAAUAUUGAUUGUCAAAUGAAAAAUUCUAAAUGUUGAUAGUGAAAUGCAAUAAUGGAUAAUUUUAAUAAAUUAAUAUAUGAAUGCGUCUUUUCAACAGUCUUUUGGCCUUCGUGAAAUAACAUUGUCUUGGUAAAAAACGUUUAAACAUUUUUGUGUAAAUAGUGUCGAUACGAAUUACAAUUACAUAAAAAACGAUCAAUUUCUAAUUGGCCACGCAGACAAGUACAGCUGUAUGAAGCAAUUACGUAACAUUUCGGAUGAAGUUUUUUUCUAUAAAUAUAAUAAUUCCAGCGCAAUGAUAUCACCUUUUUAAAAUGAGAUAAUUUAUAUAGACAUUUUGCACGGGCCAAAAAAAAAAAAAACGCCAAAAAAUCUCAAAGUCAUGGGUUGUUCAAAACAUUUACAUGCACUCCUUCAAUUUUGACCUUUGUUUUAUAUGGAACAUCUUUUUUGGUGCGAAGGCCUGCCAGGCAAAACGUCUGAAGUGUGUCCUUGCAAAAAAUGCAGAUCAGCGACACUUGCUGCAGAAAACACACUGCUGAGCAGCUCCGUUUAAAUCUGCCUCCAAAAUUAAUGACUAACUAAAUUUAUUAAUCCAGAUGUCACACAAUAUUCGCAUCUGCUAUUUAAAGCAACACAUAUGCACUCAGUAAUGAUCUUCGAAUUUCAUUCAUUAAUUAAAACAUUUACAUUAAUACUCUUUGAACAAAGUUACCACAGAUAUUUAAGAAUCUACGAUGGUCAUCAUUCAGAACUGUUCUCGGACCACUUUUAGCUUUUGUAUAUGUCGUUUUGUAAAUACCCAUGCAAUUAUAAUUUACAAAUUCG